UACAAGUCAAAUCAGUUCGUUUUGAAAUGUUUUAUUUGUAAUGUUAAGAAGAUAAUACUAUAAGAGUAAGAGUAAGAAGUUCAGUGGUUUUUAGGAAAGUUAAAAAAGAAGAAUUGUUUAUAUUUAAAAUCAAACAUAACCUUAUAAUUGCAAAACUCUUCUACUUCAGAAAUUUUCUUAUACAUGAAGAGGUGAUACAAAUAUAGAUCCAGAAUGUCCUGUUUGUUGUGGGUGUCUGUGGUUAUGCACAACAUCAUAGACACUGUAGUUGACUUAGUGUUUCGGCUUAUUUACUGCAGUGGUGCAAGGAGCAACAAGUUGAGGCCAAUUAAACAUCCGUUUCUGAUCAACAGUGCCUCUUCUCUGGCUGCGAAAAUAAGAACAAAACAGCUCUCGUCGGAGAAGCUGGUCCAGGCCUGCAUAGAUCGUAUAGUGGAGGUGAACGCAGACCUCAACUGUGUAGUAGACUCCAGGUUCCAGGAGGCACUGGCAGAAGCUCGGAGUGUGGACCAAUUCUUAGAGUCUACAUCUCUAUCAGUUGACGAACUCGAACGUGACAAACCCUUCCUUGGAGUCCCUUUCACUUGUAAAGAGAGCAUUCAGGCAGCAGGCAUGAACCACACAAUGGGCCUGGUGUCCCGGAAAGGUACCAAGGCGAGUGAAGAUUCCACAGUUGUGGCUCGAGUGAAGGCAGGAGGAGGUAUUCUACUGGCAGUCACCAACAUCCCAGAGUUCAUCUGGCAAGAGUCUCGCAACAACGUUUACGGCCAGACCAACAAUCCUUACGAUUUCCACAGAACUGCGGGUGCUUCUUCUGGUGGAUGUGCUGCAGCGGUAGCAGCUUGCCUAGUUCCCAUGGCUGUUGGCUCGGAUACAGGAGGUUCUAUCAGGAUGCCUUGUUACUUCUGUGGGCUGUUCGGCCACAUGCCAACCACAGGGUUGAUCAGCACGAAAGGUAUAUAUUUCCGUACAGGAGAAGAGACAGACCCCACCAUGUCGACAGCCGGAACUUUGACGAGAUAUGCAGAAGACAUCUCUCCCAUGCUCAAGCUCUUGGUGGGAGAAAACGUUGACAAGCUCAAAUUGGAUACCCAGGUGGAUAUGAAACAACUCAGGCUGAGUUUUGUGGUUGAUUUUAACGAGAUGAGGAUGAGUCGUCUCAAUGGUGAAACUAGAACUGUAUUAGAGAAGGCAGUGUCAUACCUGGAGGAACGUUGUGGCUCAAAGGUCAACAAGGUUACCCUGCCAGAACUGUCUCACAGCUACAACCUCUGGCACUACUGGCUGGAAAGGGAGUGGCACACCUUGGCUUACGAACUGGGCAAUAAACAGUACACAGUGUCUGGAGUGAGAGAGCUGGUCAAGAUGGUCCUGGGCAGGUCAGAGUUCACGGUCCCAACUGUACUGAAGCUGUUGGAGUCCUCUCUGUUGCCAGUCGCUCCCAAACAAUGGGCUGAGGACAAAACAGCCAAACUGCGCCAAACGCUUAUUGAGGAGCUAGGAGACGAUGGUGUCCUGGUGCUGCCUAGUUUUCCUACAACAGCUCACCAACACUAUGUGCCUUUCUUCAGGCCAUUCAACUUCUGCUUCUGGGCCAUCGUCAACGUGUUGCACUUCCCUGCCACUCAGGUGCCGCUGGGCCUCAGUCGGGACGGCCUCCCUCUCGGCCUACAGGUUGUUGCCACUCCCGUUACAACGAUCACCUGUGUAUCGCCGUUGCCCAGGAACUUGAGAAUGCCUUCGGUGGUUACGUGCCUCCUUGUGCUGUUGUCUCAUAGUUCAUACAACGAUUGCAUCUUGUAUGUCUAUUCACUACUCACCUUUAUUUUUGGAGAGCAUUGGCUGUAAAAAUAUAUAACUGGGCUCCCAAAUGCUGAAGAGGCAUCAUUGUAUUUGCUGUUUUAUACUUGUAUCAUUAACUGAGUUGUAUUGUGUAAAAAUAAAAUUGUAUAAAAAUGUCAUGUGUUUGUAAUCAAGAGGUCCCAGACCUCCAAGGGCUCCAUUAGAUAACUCUGCUUUGUAAUAGGUAUCCAGUAUCUAGAGUGUAUUGUCCCCCCACAGUGAUUGGCGUAUCUGUCACAAUAGUAGUAGUAUUUCAGUUUGUUUGUUUUUAAAUGCAUUAAUGAAUUUAACUUAUUUAAUGAUGUAUAAUCAGUUGAGUAGAAUAUUAAUAUUGUAAAUAAUAAAUGUAGGAUAUUUUAAUACAAUUACAUACGAAAGUAAAUACCACAAUUUUACUUACAAGAUACAAUUGAAGACAUCAUAAACCACACAUCAAAGUAAAUUUUUCAAUAUUUGAACUUUUGCUCACAUUAAUCCUUUUAGUGCCAAUGUCCUGCUAUCUGGACGUAUAACAAACUAUGUAUAAAGUGCCAACGUCCUUUUUACAGGACUUUCUAAAAUGCCAAUAUCCGGUUAACCGGGCAUCAUGAUAGAAAGUCAUUAAAAAUUCAGAAAUAAACAGUUUAUUUAUUUAGAAACAUUUUCUUAUUUAUAUACAUGGUUUUAUAUAAUACCCACGUUUAUAGUAUGUAUGUAUAAGAUUUUAUUACAGUAGGAUCUAAGACAGUGGCUUU